UACAGAGGAUGCAAGCGUUAUCCGGAAUGAUUGGGCGUAAAGCGUCUGUAGGUGGCUUUUUAAGUCCGCCGUCAAAUCCCAGGGCUCAACUCUGGACAGGCGGUGGAAACUACCAAGCUGGAGUAUGGUAGGGGUAGAGGGAAUUUCCAGUGGAGCGGUGAAAUGCGUAGAUAUUGGAAAGACCACCGAUGGCGAAGGCACUCUACUGGGCCAUUACUGACACUGAGAGACGAAAGCUAGGGGAGCAAAUGGG
rnacentral:rRNA from 1 species